GGAAGUCCCAACGUCUCCAUCACCCCCAACUCUGUCAAAUGUGGUAUCGCUUCCUCCAAAACUCCUAGCCAGUCGAGUAAUGUAAGUCCCAAAACAGAAAAAUACCUUCUUUGAGUUAUUGCAGAAGGCACUGAUCUGUCUGGCCAAUAAGUAUCCCAUGUCGACAGACUAGUGCUGGUGCAUGCUGUAAAGUAUAAACAGGUCUGGCUGGGUAAC
rnacentral:lncRNA from 1 species